rnacentral:rRNA from 1 species
GAUGAACGCUGGCGGCGUGCCUAAUACAUGCAAGUCGAGCGAACAGACGAGGAGCUUGCUCCUCUGACGUUAGCGGCGGACGGGUGAGUAACACGUGGAUAACCUACCUAUAAGACUGGGAUAACUUCGGGAAACCGGAGCUAAUACCGGAUAAUAUAUUGAACCGCAUGGUUCAAUAGUGAAAGACGGUUUUGCUGUCACUUAUAGAUGGAUCCGCGCCGCAUUAGCUAGUUGGUACGGUAACGGCUUACCAAGGCAACGAUGCGUAGCCGACCUGAGAGGGUGAUCGGCCACACUGGAACUGAGACACGGUCCAGACUCCUACGGGAGGCAGCAGUAGGGAAUCGUCGGCAAUGGGCGAAAUCCUGACGGAGCAACGCCGCGUGAGUGAUGAAGGUCUUCGGAUCGUAAAACUCUGUUAUUAGGGAAGAACAAAUGUGUAAGUAACUAUGCACGUCUUGACGGUACCUAAUCAGAAAGCCACGGCUAACUACGUG